GUUGCUUCUUACUUGUGAAAACCUCUUAAUUUUACAUGGCGUAUUCCUGUUGCGGAAGCAUAGAUUGAUGUUUUUGGCAGUAUUAAACAGCGUGAUAAGUACAUAAUGUUGCAUCGUGUUACUUGUCUUCUGGUGCAACC
rnacentral:snoRNA from 1 species